rnacentral:rRNA from 1 species
GACGAACGCUGGCGGCGUGCUUAACACAUGCAAGUCGAACGGAAAGGCCCUGCUUUUGUGGGGUGCUCGAGUGGCGAACGGGUGAGUAACACGUGAGUAACCUGCCCUUGACUUUGGGGUAACUUCAGGAAACUGGGGCUAAUACCGGAUAGGAGCUCCUGCUGCAUGGUGGGGGUUGGAAAGUUUCGGCGGUUGGGGAUGGACUCGCGGCUUAUCAGCUUGUUGGUGGGGUAGUGGCUUACCAAGGCUUUGACGGGUAGCCGGCCUGAGAGGGUGACCGGCCACAUUGGGACUGAGAUACGGCCCAGACUCCUACGGGAGGCAGCAGUGGGGAAUAGUGCACAAUGGGCGGAAGCCUGAUGCAGCAACGCCGCGGGCGGGAUGACGGCCUUCGGGUUGGAAGCCGCUUUCGCCUGUGACGAAGCGGGAGUGACGGUAAUGGGUAAAGAAGCACCGGCUAACUACGUG